CGACCGGCGCACGGGUGAGUAACGCGUAUGCAACCUACCUCUUACUGAGGGAUAGCCCUAAGAAAUUGGGAUUAAUACCUCAUAGUAUGUACGAUUCGCAUGUUUUGUACAUUAAAGGUUACGGUAAGAGAUGGGCAUGCGUCCUAUUAGCUAGAUGGUAAGGUAACGGCUUACCAUGGCAACGAUAGGUAGGGGGCCUGGGAGGGUGAUCCCCCACACUGGUACUGAGACACGGACCAG
rnacentral:rRNA from 1 species